rnacentral:misc_RNA from 1 species
GCAAACUUGGUCAUUUAGAGGAAGUAAAAGUCGUAACAAGGUCUCCGUUGGUGAACCAGCGGAGGGAUCAUUACCGAGUUUACAACUCCCAAACCCCUGUGAACAUACCUUAUGUUGCCUCGGCGGAUCAGCCCGCGCCCGGUAAAACGGGACGGCCCGCCAGAGGACCCUAAACUCUGAUUUUAGUGUAACUUCUGAGUAAAACCAUAAAUAAAUCAAAACUUUCAACAACGGAUCUCUUGGUUCUGGCAUCGAUGAAGAACGCAGC